GGAUUGUGGCUCAGAGAUAGAGCUCUAGCCUAACAUGCAUGAGGUACUGGGUUUGAUCCUCAGCACCA
rnacentral:tRNA from 1 species